AUGUACAUUCCUACAACAUAGCGUUAAUGCACCAGAUCCCAUUAGAACUCUACAGUUAAGCACGCUCAGGCUAGAGUAGCACUGAGAUGGGUGACCACCUGGGAAUUCCUAGUGUUCUACAUG
rfam:Picea glauca, whole genome shotgun sequence.